rnacentral:tRNA from 1 species
GUGGCUGAGGCCGAACGGUCAGGCACUGGAUUGUGAUUCCAGGUGAAGUGGGUUCAACUCCCAUCAGCCACC